GAGCUUCUGCGCUUCCAGAGAGGCACAGCUCUCAGCCGGGCAUGAAGUCGGAGCGCCCGGACCGGCCUGACCCAGAGCGCCCCUCCUAACUGAACCGUCCCGAAGAGCCGCCCCCUUUAAAGAAGCUAUAAAGCUGCUGUUGCACGAGUAUUUCUGGAAACAGCAAAUGAGGCAGCAACCUCCAGCUCGCCAGGACAUGAAACCCCCAGACGCCCCGGAGGGCCCCACCAGCCGGACUCCCUGGCGUCUGCUUGGGGGCUCCCCGGACCCCCACAGGGAGACACUGUGAUUGGUCCAGGUGGAGGGGGAGGCAUGUACGCAUUUUCCUGACUAUUUGCUUCUGUUUAACUUCUGGGUUAACAAAGGGAACCACUGAGCCAGCUAGGAGCAGGAAUUUAAUUCGUCCCAUCGCCCGCGCAAUGAGACGAAUUAAGCGGCAAAACCCAGCAGAACACGGGAAGCUUCUCCUGUAAUUUAGGAAACGUCAGGGUUGCAACUGGCACCUCUUCCGUCCAGCUGAAUGUUCUUCGGUGCCAGAGCAAAGGCGCCCCCUUCCGCUCAAAGCCCAGGGCAAAGUGAAAGAUGGGAAGGUCAGCAAGGGGCGGCCACCACGGCAGGGUCGUCUCCUGCCUUCUGUGGCAGGACGUGGACCGCCGGGAGCAGGCCCAGCAGCCCCGCCCGCCCGUGACAGCCCCCGAAGGGGACAUGAGCCGGCCCCCGGGCCGCCGGGCUCCCGACCACCCACCGGCCAUGAAGACGGCAUCACCCUGCGAGCACCAGGUCCAGCACGCGGGAGGACUCUGACCCCGCCGGCGUGGCUGGUGGGGCCCGGAGAGAGGGCGGCGCGUGGCCCAGGGCUCCGCCGGGCUUUGGACUGCCCACCCGGGGCUUCGGCCCGCUGCGCCUUUGCAGCUUCUUCUUUGACGAUAUGAAAAACUUCUUUGACGAUAUGAAAAAGCCUUAGAAUAGUGAUGCAAAGAGAAGAAAGAGCGUGUGUGUGAGCAGCCCGCACGCGCUUGCAGGUGAAACCGAGACGCCGCUGAAGCCGCCCCCACCGGUGCCACGCGGUCAGGGACGCAGGAGUCAGCUCCAGGGCGCGCCGGCCGAGAUGUGGCUGGGCACCGCCGUUCCCUGAUGCCCGCCGCCUGGCCCAUGCCAUGCUCCCCGGAUGAGCUGACCACUGUCCUCGUGGACGUCAUUGUCGGAGGCAAGACUUCCAGCACUGGCCUCACUGCGCCGUGUUCCUGCUCUCCUGCCUCUGGCCGUCUGACGCCCAGCUGACCAUGUCCUACACCUGGCUGACCAAACCCAGGGUGCUGUAGGGUCCCGGCUCCCAGGGCUCCCUGCUGGCCAGCCAGCCGCCCAGCCUCCACAGGUAGUCUCGCUGCCCAGUGGGUGCUGCAGGAGGGGACUUCCUCUCCAGCAUUUUCUGGAAUUCGCCCACAGGGAAGAACCCUCUGGAGCAAGGACUCGUCGCCCUAGGACACAGUUCGGCAAGAGGCAAAAUGCAAACGUUCCCUCUGGCUUUUCACCUCCCUGUUUCUAGAGUAAUGAGCUGGUUCUCUGCCAGCCCCACAGGGACUUUUUAAAAGUCAGAGAUUAAAAAAAUG